rnacentral:lncRNA from 1 species
GGAGGAGAGAGGCUAGAGAGGCUUCAGAGCGGCCCAGGACUGGCUUGCUUCUGGCUUCUAGGGACACCCUAGUGGUGGGAGGAUCGGUCCCACCCUACGUUAUCCUCCCAAACUUAAGCCUCUAGUGCUGGGGUCACCCCCCUCCAGUGAGGGACCUGGAGGACGCUGGAGGGGAGGUCGAGGAACGAACUUUGCAUGCUAAAAAAAUGUCCUCAUCUUUGGUUCUAGAAUCCCUAAUCUCCUAGCAACGGGGCUGUAGAAUCUUCACAGACAUUAAGGUUUUUAUAGCAACGGGUUGCGGCGCCUCCCGGGCUCCCCCUCUUUCCACUUUCCCCUUCCCAUCUCCUCCCCUUCCCCCUUGAUCCAUAAUAGGGGCCCCCUUAGACCUCUCCGUCUCCCCCUCCUGCUGAAUACCCCAAGAUUUCAACCUAUCUGCCAGGUCUGGGGCGGCGAGUAGGCUGCCUUGGCUUGGGAAGGGCCUUGGGAGGAAAGAUGGAGGAAGAGGCUGUCUGGGCUUGUAGUUUUGUGAGAGUCAUCUCCCCCCAAAAAAGCUUAGGGCUGAGAUUACAUAUAUACCUAUACCCUCUCCCACCCAGAGAGAGAGGAGAAAAUUGAGACCGUGGUAUGUUUCUUCCAAGAGCAUUGAUUAAACCUUGGCUCUGGGAAUGGAGGUCGGCUGAGUUCUUGGGAAAGCAGGCUGGCUUCUCAGCCUAACACAGGCUUUGAC